rnacentral:rRNA from 1 species
ACUCCUACGGGAGGCAGCAGUGGGGAAUUUUCCGCAAUGGGCGAAAGCCUGACGGAGCAAUACCGCGUGAGGGAAGACGGCCUUAGGGUUGUAAACCUCUUUCAGUUGGGACGAAGGUUCGACGGUGAAUAGCCGGCCGGACUGACGGUACCUUCAGAAGAAGCUCCGGCUAACUACGUGCCAGCAGCCGCGGUAAUAC